AAAAGGUUAAAACUAGAGCUGUCAAGCGAUUAAAAUAUUUAAUCGUGAUUAAUCGCAUUAAUGUCAUAGUUAACUCACGAUUAAUCGCGAUUAAUCGCAAAUUAUUUUUCUAUGCUAAAUAUCCCUUGAUUUUUUUGUCCCAUAAUUCUUCUCAUUUUAAUUCUCUUAUCAACAUGGUGAAGUGCAUCGGCUUGUCUUGUGCAAAUGAUUUUUUAUUGAUAACAACAUUGGCAUAUACUGAUCAAAACAGGACGAUACAAAAAAAGAGCUUAUAGUGCAAUUAAACGACUGCUUUGAACAAAUGUCAUUUGAACAUAGCAGUCAGGCUACUGCUUCUUUGUUUUGAGCCUACUGCUUUUUUGUAAAUAAAAUAUUUGCGUUAAUCGCGCGAUAAUUUUUUUAACGCCGUUAAAAUUGGUUUGCGUUAACGCCGUUAAUAACGCGUUUAACUGACAGCUCUAGUUAAAACCAAUUUACUUGGUAAUUGUACAAGUUUAUUGUACACCGACCUUUCAAAGGUUUCCAUUUUAAUAGUAGGCCAUAUGAUGUUCUAUUCGUUUUUGGGGCUAUUUUUGAAUUGUUCUGAAAUGCCCUCUGGUGUUAAUCUGCAUUAACACCACUAACCCAAGGUCCUGAUUAGUCAGGUGCUGGGUAAAGAAAUCUGAGCUAAUUAGAGAGUUUGUGGUUUCAUUACCAAAUACUCUCCAAUACUUCAGAAUGAAUGCUGCAGUUAAAAGUGCUUUUGUUUAAACAAGACUUCAGAAUUUAGGGUGGGAAAAGAAAUCACAAUAGUCAUGCCUUGGUAAUCUGCUACUCUAAAAGGUGUCUGUAUGGCGUGACAGCUAUCUUGCGUAGCCUCUUCUCAGUGGGCUUGACUUGCAGUGAAUUUUGUGUCCCCAAAUGUAGCCAAUUUGCCCCCCAAAAUGGAAGUCCAUGUAUACAACUUUUAAACCUG